AAUUAUGAUUGAUAGGGAAUAGUGCUCUUAGGGGACCAGGGUUUUGAAAGAAGGGUUGUCCUGGGGUUUCUGGACCUCUGCCAGCCAGCUGUCAUGAUGCAAAUUGAGGAGAGUCAAGUAGAAUGAAGAAAUACAAGAAACCCAAGUUUAUCCCUUGCUUUGUGUUCCUUCCGGAUGGAGACAUUCUCACUGGAGACUCAGAGGGGAACAUUCUCACCUGGGGGCGGAGCCCUUCAGAUUCCAAGACCCCAGGCAGGGGUGGCGCCAAAGAGACCUAUGGGAUUGUGGCCCAGGCUCACGCUCAUGAAGGUUCUAUCUUCGCCUUGUGUCUCCGGAGGGACGGGACAGUGCUGAGUGGUGGCGGGCGGGACCGCCGGCUGGUACAGUGGGGGCCCGGGUUGGUGGCCCUCCAGGAGGCUGAGAUUCCCGAGCACUUUGGGGCCGUGCGAGCCAUUGCUGAAGGGCUUGGCUCUGAGCUGCUGGUGGGAACCAC
rnacentral:sRNA from 1 species